AGCUCCAAUAGCGUAUAUUAAAGUUGUUGCAGUUAAAAAGCUCGUAGUUGGAUUUCUGAUAUUUUUUUAUAUUUUUCUUGUCUUGCUCAAGAGCAGAUGUUAAAUAUGAUUAAUGUCAUACCUUGCCCGCAUAAAUUUGGUUUCCAGUUAUUCAUUUAGCUGUGUUUUAAUCAGAUGGGCAUCAUUUACUGUGAAAAAAUUAGAGUGUUCAAAGCAAGUUUUAGAAUUUAAUGAAUACAUUAGCAUGGAAUAAUAAGAUAGGACUUUGGUACUAUUUUGUUGGUUUGCAUACCAAAGUAAUGAUUAAUAGGAACAUAUUGGGGAUAUCUGUAUUUUUUAGUCAGAGGUGAAAUUCUUGGAUUUAAGAAAGACAAACUACAGCGAAAGCAUUUAUCAAGGA
rnacentral:rRNA from 1 species